rnacentral:rRNA from 1 species
AUAAACGAUGCCAACCAGCAAUCCGCCCGAGUUCCUCAAAACGACUCGGCGGGCAGCUUCCGGGAAACCAAAGUUUUUGGGUUCCGGGGGAAGUAUGGUUGCAAAGCUGAAACUUAAAGGAAUUGACGGAAGGGCACCACCAGGAGUGGAGCCUGCGGCUUAAUUUGACUCAACACGGGAAAACUUACCCGGCCCGGACACCGGAAGGAUUGACAGAUUAAUAGCUCUUUCUUGAUUCGGUGGGUGGUGGUGCAUGGCCGUUCUUAGUUGGUGGAGUGAUUUGUCUGGUUAAUUCCGAUAACGAACGAGACUCUAGCCUACUAAAUAGACCCACGGUCCGAAGUACCGUGAUCGGGUCUUCUUAGAGGGACAGGCGGCUUUUAGCCGCACGAAACGGAGCAAUAACAGGUCUGUGAUGCCCUUAGAUGUCCGGGGCCGCACGCGCGCUACACUGAAGGAAUCAACGUGUGUCUACCCUGGUCCGAGAGGACUGGGUAACCCCGUGAACCUUCUUCGUGCUAGGGAUAGGGGAUUGUAAUUAUUCCCCUCGAACGAGGAAUUCCCAGUAAGCGCGAGUCAUCAGCUCGCGUUGAUUACGUCCCUGCCCUUUGUACACACCGCCCGUCGCUACUACCGAUUGAAUGAUUUAGUGAGGCCUUCGGACCGGUGCAUCGAGUGGCUUCUGUCACUCACUGCGUUGGGAAGAUGGCCGAACUUGAUCAUUUAGAGGAAGUAAAAGUCGUAACAAGGUUGCCGUAGGUGAACCUGCAGAAGGAUCAA